CCUACGGGAGGCUGCCGUGGGGGAUAUUGCACAAUGGGGGAAACCCUGAUGCAGCGACGCCGCGUGGGCGAAGAAGUAUUUCGGUAUGUAAAGCCCUAUCAGCAGGGAAGAAGAAAUGACGAUACAUGAGUAAGAAGCACCGGCUAAAUACGUGCCAGCAGCCGCGGUCAUACGUAUGGUGCAAGCGUUAUCCGGAUUUACUGGGUGUAACGGGAGCGCAGGGGGCACGGCAAGCCUGAUGUGAAAGCCCGCGGCCCAACCGUGGGACUGCAUUGGGAACUACCGGGCUGGAGUGCCGGAGAGGUAGGCGGAAUUCGUAGUGUAGCGGUGAAAUGCGUAGAUAUUAGGAGGAACACCAGUGGCGAAGGCGGCCUACUGGACUGUGACUGACGCUGAGGCUCGAAAGUGUGGGGAGCAAACAGGAUUAGAUACCCCAGUAGUC
rnacentral:rRNA from 1 species